GACAGAGGGUGCAAGCGUUGUUCGGAAUUACUGGGCGUAAAGCGUGUGUAGGCGGCUACAUAAGUCGGAUGUGAAAGCCCCGGGCUCAACCCGGGAAGUGCACUCGAUACUGCGUAGCUUGAGUCUCGGAGAGGUUGGUGGAAUUCUCGGUGUAGAGGUGAAAUUCGUAGAUAUCGAGAGGAACACCGGUGGCGAAGGCGGCCAACUGGACGAAGACUGACGCUGAGACACGAAAGCGUGGGGAGCAAACAGG
rnacentral:rRNA from 1 species